UACGUAGGGGGCAAGCGUUGUCCGGAUUCAUUGGGCGUAAAGAGCGUGUAGGCGGCCAGGUAGGUCCGCUGUGAAAACUCGAGGCUCAACCUCGAGACGUCGAUGGAAACCAUCUGGCUAGAGUCCGGAAGAGGAGAGUGGAAUUCCUGGUGUAGCGGUGAAAUGCGCAGAUAUCAGGAGGAAUACCCGUGGCGAAAGCGGCUCUCUGGGACGGUACUGACGCUGAGACGCGAAAGCGUGGGGAGCAAACAGG
rnacentral:rRNA from 1 species